ensembl:lncRNA
UCUAGAGCCAUUUGCUACACUCUAAGCCCGGGUGAGACUAAACUUAAAGAGGAUGACAUGUUAUAUUCUAGAGCCAUUUACUACACCUUACGCCCGGGUGAGACUAAACUCAAAGGUCUCAGAAAAAUAGCGGCAUGAAGUCAAAAUCACAUCUGAGUGAAAGUGAAGACAUUUAUCACACAUUGUUAUUACAAUUGAACAAGCUGUAUGUUAUCUACUCUGCAUAUAACAAAACUAUAAAGAACUAUAAGUACCAAUAAAGUUAAUAUGCUAACAAACGCUUCUGUCUGUUAUGUAGAAUUUUAAUUAAACCAGUUGUUGCUUCUGCUCAUUCUGCUUGUGCAUGAAUGCUGUUCAAAGAAAAAGAAAAAGCUGCUGCUGCUCAUUUCUU